CAGUGCCUGACGAACUACCAGCUGCAGCCAGUGUGCCAAGGACCGAUUCUGUGUCCUGCGGGGGAGGCCCCCACCCUUCAGAGGAGUAGCGGUCUGCCUGCAUCCAGAGGACUCAUGUAUGGUACAGAAGCACAGCCAGGUUAAAAGGUGUUUAAGGCAAGAGGGAGCCAUGGAGGGUUUUAUGCUGGGGAGUAUAGUCUCUGCUCUGCCACAAGCAUUCUCAUGUUGAAUUAUUCUCCAGCUUGCCCCGGGCGUAUUGUAAGGAGUCUACGAAGUGUGAACUCAAAGAGAACAAGAAAUGGAUGCACAUUGAGGGAGCUGCCCAAGACAAAGCAAAGAAGAAGGAAAUGGUCUUUGAAGGUGUGAAGAGUCUAAGGGGCCAGAGAGAGCUACCCACCUGGAGCCCCCCAUCCGGACCUCCCUUCACCUACCAGAAAUCUCUAAUGGGCGGACAGAACCUCAAGAGAACACCUAGUUAGGCAUGUGUUUGGGAAUGGGGUGAGCCAGAGCUGGGACAUCACAGUAUCCACAUGGGCAUAUGUGAGACCCCUUGAUGUGAGGGACAGAGUGGGGUGGGGGACGGGCAGGGCGAGGAGGAGGUCAGGAGGAGGGCU